rnacentral:rRNA from 1 species
AUUGAACGCUGGCGGCAGGCCUAACACAUGCAAGUCGAGCGGAUGAAGGGAGCUUGCUCCUGGAUUCAGCGGCGGACGGGUGAGUAAUGCCUAGGAAUCUGCCUGGUAGUGGGGGAUAACGUCCAGAAACGGGCGCUAAUACCGCAUACGUCCUGAGGGAGAAAGUGGGGGAUCUUCGGACCUCACGCUAUCAGAUGAGCCUAGGUCGGAUUAGCUAGUUGGUGGGGUAAAGGCCUACCAAGGCGACGAUCCGUAACUGGUCUGAGAGGAUGAUCAGUCACACUGGAACUGAGGCACGGUCCAGACUCCUACGGGAGGCAGCAGUGGGGAAUAUUGGACAAUGGGCGAAAGCCUGAUCCAGCCAUGCCGCGUGUGUGAAGAAGGUCUUCGGAUUGUAAAGCACUUUAAGUUGGGAGGAAGGGCAGUAAGUUAAUACCUUGCUGUUUCGACGUUACCAACAGAAUAAGCACCGGCUAACUUCGUG